rnacentral:rRNA from 1 species
UACGUAGGGUCCGAGCGUUGUCCGGAAUUACUGGGCGUAAAGAGCUCGUAGGCGGUGUGUCGCGUCGGCCGUGAAAACCUGGGGCUCAACUCUGGGCGUGCGGUCGAUACGGGCAUCACUUGAGUUCGGCAGGGGAGACUGGAAUUCCUGGUGUAGCGGUGAAAUGCGCAGAUAUCAGGAGGAACACCGGUGGCGAAGGCGGGUCUCUGGGCCGAUACUGACGCUGAGGAGCGAAAAGCAUGGGUAGCGAACAGG